rfam:Planomicrobium glaciei strain CGMCC 1.6846 genome assembly, contig: Ga0070170_107
AACACCUUUAAAAACGGUCCAGAGAGGCCGAGAAGGUAUUUACGCUGGCUGGGAGACUGUCUUCCAUGCUUAAUUUUUCUGCGCAUCUAACCUCUUGCCUCUCAGGCAAGAGGUUUUUUAGU